UCAGAUGUGGUGUAGGGUGCACAGCAGCUCCUUAUUGCUCGUAUGUCAGUAAUCUUAGAGCUGAAAGCCGGGGUUCGACUCCCCGCAUCUGAA